rnacentral:rRNA from 1 species
UACGUAGGGGGCUAGCGUUGUCCGGAAUCAUUGGGCGUAAAGCGCGCGUAGGCGGCCCGGUAAGUCCGCUGUAAAAGUCAAAGGCUCAACCUUUGAAUGUCAGUGGAUACUGCCGGGCUAGAGUCCGGAAGAGGCGAGUGGAACUCCUGGUGUAGCGGUGGUAUGCGCAGAUAUCGGGAGGAACACCAAUUGCGAAGGCAGCUCGCUGGGACGUCACUGACGCUGAGACGCGAAAGCGUGGGGAGCAAACAGG